GACGAACGCUGGCGGCGUGCCUAACACAUGCAAGUCGAGCGGAAAGGCCCCUUCGGGGGUACUCGAGCGGCGAACGGGUGAGUAACACGUGGGUAAUCUGCCCAGGACACAGGAAUAACCAGUGGAAACGCUGGCUAAUGCCUGAUGAAGUGCAGACCUCUUGGGGUUCUGUACCAAAGGUAGCUUCGGCCUCCGGUCCUGGAUGAGCCCGCGGCCCAUUAGCUUGUCGGCGGGGUAACGGCCCACCAAGGCGACGAUGGGUAGCUGGUCUGAGAGGACGAUCAGCCACACUGGGACUGAGACACGGCCCAGACUCCUACGGGAGGCAGCAGUGGGGAAUCUUGCGCAAUGGGCGAAAGCCUGACGCAGCAACGCCGCGUGCGGGAGGAAGGCCU
rnacentral:rRNA from 1 species